AAAGCACGACAUUGCUCACAUUGCUUCCAGUAUUAUUUUAGCCAGCUUUUGCUGGCUUUUUUUU
rnacentral:antisense_RNA from 1 species